rnacentral:rRNA from 1 species
AAGCCUGAUCCAGCAAUGCCGCGUGCAGGAUGAAGGCCUUCGGGUUGUAAACUGCUUUUGUACGGAACGAAAAGCCUCUCUCUAAUACAGGGGGGUGAUGACGGUACCGUAAGAAUAAGCACCGGCUAACUACGUGCCAGCAGCCGCGGUAAUACGGAGGGUGCAAGCGUUACUCGGAAUCACUGGGCGUAAAGAGCACGUAGGCGGCCUUGCAAGUCAGAUGUGAAAUCCAACGGCUUAACCGUUGAACUGCAUUUGAAACUGCAAGGCUAGAGUAUGGGAGAGGUAGGUGGAAUUCUCGGUGUAGGGGUAAAAUCCGUAGAGAUCGAGAGGAAUACUCAUUGCGAAGGCGACCUGCUGGAACAUUACUGACGCUGAGGUGCGAAAGCGUGGGGAGCAAACA